UCUCUCUCUUUUCACUCUGCAGAUCUGGCAGUGUGCAUUGUUGGUGGCGGCGGUGAUGGACUGAUUUUGAGAUGGCGGCGGAGAAGAUGACGUAGAGGUGGAGAGAUUAGGGUUUUGUUGGUGAUGGAAAGAUUAGGGUUUUUUGGUGGUGGUGGUGUCUCAGAUUUGGGUUUUUGGUGGUGGUGGUGUCUCAUAUUAGGAUUUUGGUGGUGUUGGAGAGAUUAAGAUUUUUUGGUGGUGGUAGUGUCUCAGAUCUGGCCAUGUGUAUUUGUUAAAAGCCAAAUACAAAUACAUUCAAAAAUCUACAUCUCACAAAUACACCGUUUUUUAAUGUAUUUGUCUUUGUAUUUUUGAGUGCAUUUUUUAGUAUAUUUUGUUAAUAGCCAAACACAUUAUUUUUUUGAAUGUAUUUGAAUUUUUUGGUCUUGUAUCUGAAUGUAUAUGUUGAAAUCCAUUCAAAUACACGAAAAUUUGAAUAUAUUUGGCUUCAUAGUUGUUGGAAUGUACAUAAUGUAUUUGAAAUACAUCAAAAAAAGCCAAUGAAAUACAUCAAAAAAAAAAAAUCAGUAAAAUACAUAAAAAAAAAAAAGACACGAAAAUACAUUAUGGCAAAAAAAAAAAAUCACUGAAAUACAUCAAAAAAAAAAAAAUCACUGAAAUACAUAAAAAAAAAAUCACUAAAAUACAUCAAAAAAAUAUAUAUUAAUAUCUAAUUUAAUAGCUCCACCAUUAAAGGCUAAAAUCAAGGAUCAUGUUUUUUUUUUUACCUUGUUCUCAUGUAUUUGUUGGCAACAAAUACACAGCGAAAACAUACACUAUUUUGCCAAAAUGUAGCUACAAAUGGUAAUAUUUAAAAGGGUAACUACAAAUGGUAGGAAGCUACAAUAAGAUAGUCAUUUGAGUAAGUUUGUCGACCAGCCCACCAGGCGAGAUCAGCCCAUCACCCUUUAACACCAAUCGGCCCACACUAUCCGAAUACCCGAUCCAGCCCACAUCCACUUUCUACCCGACCCAGCCCAUGUGUCUUUUAACAUCAGUUGAACCAAACCUAGCCGCACACUCACCUCCCCUCUUUCCCCUUUCGACCAAGAAUCAAUUUCCUUUAGCCAUGGCAGAACCCGCGCCCCCAUUUUCGUGCAAUACGCACAGCUCACCUCUUUCCCCUUUUGACAAAGAUCCAUUUUCGGUGCAACCUUCCCCUUUCCCACAUUUUUAGUUUCGAUUUAAUUCUGAAUUUCGAAUCCCAAACAUCCUCGAGUUGCUUCGACAACCUUGCUGCCACAUUAAUGAGACAAUGUUGCGUAUCGCUGCUGUUCUUUGUGACCAAUCGCCAUGACGGCUUAGGCAAACAGUGGACGUUUAAGGCCAAGCCUGCAGCUUGCCAUCAGCUGCUGUUAUGCCUCUGUUUUUUCCUCUAUGUUCGAACUGCCUUGGGUAUACAGAAGCCUUGGACCUUGGCUAAAUGUCCCAUUAAUUUGUUCCGUUCUUGUUUAUUUGUUUGCUCUAUUUGCUUGUGUGAUAUUUGUUGAACGUUAAGACUAUUAAUCAAUUUUAGUCAUA